rnacentral:rRNA from 1 species
AUUGAACGCUGGCGGCAGGCCUAACACAUGCAAGUCGAACGCGUGGCGGACUGGGUCGUACUGUCUGGGAAACUGCGCGAUGGCGGGGUAUAACUACUGAAAAAGGGAGCUAAUAACGCAUACUAUGGGUUGUGACCAAAUGGGUUUAGCUUGUAGGUGGGUUAAAGUCUCACCUAGGCCACGAUCCCUAACUGGUCUGAGUGGAUGACCAGCCAUACUGGAACUGAGCAACGGUCCAGACUGCUACGGUAGGCAGCAGUGGCGAAUAUUGCACAAUGGGCGCAAGCUUGAUGCAGCCAUGCCGCGUGGAUGAAGAAGGCCUUCGGGUUGUAAAGUUCUUUCAGCUGGGAGGCGUUAUCCGCAGAAGAAGCACCGGCUACCUCCAUGCCAGCAGCCGCGGUAAUAC